rnacentral:rRNA from 1 species
GUGGGGAAUAUUGGACAAUGGGCGAAAGCCUGAUCCAGCCAUGCCGCGUGUGUGAAGAAGGUCUUCGGAUUGUAAAGCACUUUAAGUUGGGAGGAAGGGCAGUAAGUUAAUACCUUGCUGUUUUGACGUUACCGACAGAAUAAGCACCGGCUAACUUCGUGCCAGCAGCCGCGGUAAUACGAAGGGUGCAAGCGUUAAUCGGAAUUACUGGGCGUAAAGCGCGCGUAGGUGGUUUUGUAAGUUGGAGGUGAAAUCCCCGGGCUCAACCUGGGAACUGCCUCCAAAACUGCAUGACUAGAGUACGGUAGAGGGUAGUGGAAUUUCCUGUGUAGCGGUGAAAUGCGUAGAUAUAGGAAGGAACACCAGUGGCGAAGGCGACUACCUGGACUGAUACUGACACUGAGGUGCGAAAGCGUGGGGAGCAAACAGGAUUAGAAACCCGGUAGUCC